ACGGGGUGCAGCAGGCGCGAAAACUUCGCAAUGCGGGAAACCGUGACGAGGGAACUCCAAGUGUCUAUGCAAUGCAUAGACUGUUUUUCAGCCUAAAUAGCUGUUAGAGUAAGGGGUGGGUAAGACCGGUGCCAGCCGCCGCGGUAACACCGGCACCCCAAGUGGUAGCCACUAUUAUUGGGCCUAAAGCGUUCGUAGCCGGUUUAGUAAAUUCUUGGGUAAAUCGUACAGCUUAACUGUGCGGAUUCCGGGGACACUACUAGACUUGAGACCGGGAGAGAUUAGAGGUACUUGCAGGGGAGCGGUGAAAUGUUGUAAUCCUGCAGGGACCACCAGUGGCGAAGGCGUCUAAUCAUAACGGCUCUGACGGUGAGGAACGAAACCCUGGGGCGCAAACGGGAUUAGAUACCCCGGUAGUCCAGGGCGUAAACGCUGCUGACUUGGUGUUGGAGAUCCUACGAGGGUGUCCAGUGCUGGCGCGAAGGUAUUAAGUCAGCCGCCUGGGGAGUACGGUCGCAAGACUGAAACUUAA
rnacentral:rRNA from 1 species